GUUCUUAUGUUAUUGAUUGGAAACCGUUUUUGCUUACAAGGUCAAUGUGACCUUGACCUUUGACCCCUUGACCCCAAAAUCAAUAGGGAUCAUCUACUGAUCAUGACCAAUCACCAUACCAAGUUUGAAGUUCCUAGGCCUUAAGGUUCUUUAGUUAUUGAUCGGAAACCGUUUUUGCUUACAAGGUCAAUGUGACCUUGACCUUUGACCCUUUGACCCCAAAAUCAAUAGGGGUCAUCUACUGGUCAUGACCAAUCACCAUACCAAGUUUGAAGUUCCUAGGCCUUAAGGUUCUUUAGUUAUUGAUCGGAAACCGUUUUUGCUUACAAGGUCAAUGUGACCUUGACCUUUGACCCUUUGACCCCAAAAUCAAUAGGGGUCAUCUACUGGUCAUGACCAAUCACCAUACCAAGUUUGAAGUUCCUAGGCCUUAAGGUUCUUUAGUUAUUGAUCGGAAACCGUUUUUGCUUACAAGGCCUAAGGGUUCUUUAGUUAUCACUCGGAAACCAUUUGGUCUACGGACCGACGGACCGACGGACCGACAAGUGCAAAGCAAUAUACCCCCUUUUCUUCGAAAUGGGGGCAUAAAUAUA